GGCAGAUCCACAGAGUUCCUGUAUCUCCCGUCCAGUUCAACGCUUAUUAUGGGAACGUCCGAAUCACAGCACGAGUCUGAGAAAAACACACAAAACACGGAGUGAGAAGAGUGAACAUUAUUCAUCUCGCUGAAGAAAGAAACUCCUGUAGCUGAAUGUUUGGUCACGAGGACGUCAGAUCACACAGACAGAGGAACACGUGAGACAUGUCACAUGGGUGAGUCUGAGAGAGGGUUUGAACUGAAGGACGGAUCAGACGAGUGAGAGCCAUGCGGGGCAGGACAGCCAUGCACACAGCAGAGGCGGCGUUAGUGACACGCAGCCCGGGACGCUGAAUGACGGCGGAUUUGUUACAUUUGAGGUUCCAUUUUAAUCAGUGAGCUGCCUAAGAAGGGAGCAGACAGGAAGAACACUCACUAGCAUUGGGAACGGAGCCUGAUGACUCCCAGAAGUCAGUGUGUGUACCUGUAGACAUGCUCUCUCCGGGUGACAGCAUGUCCAUCAGGCCUGGCGUGUGCUCCAGCGGCUGCGGGGGCUGCGGCGGGGGCAGGUGGGGUCUCUGGCGGGGGGGUUUGGGCAUGGGCCGUGAUCUGGGCAGCGUGCUGGCGAGCGGCGGCGGGGACGAGAGCGUC